GGAGAGGUCGCAUAGUGGACUAGUGCGCACGCCUGGAAAGUGUGUAGGGUAAUACCCUCGUGGGUUCGAAUCCCACCCUCUCCG
rnacentral:tRNA from 2 species